rnacentral:lncRNA from 1 species
CCCGUCUAAGCUAGCGGGAGUUAGCCGGCCUUCGUUAAAACUGUUGGGACACAGGCUGUUAAACUGAUAAAAUUUCAGCUUCCAUGGAACGGGGGGCCCUGCCUGAGGAGGAAGACAGCGCAAAGAAGGCAGAGAUCAUUGCUACAGCUCCAUCCUCUGAUCCAGUGGUGCCUGUCCUCUCAGUGGGAUGGAUGGAAAUUCUUGGAGCGCCCAGCUGCGGUUUGCGACUGCUCAUGUAGAGUGACAGUGUGCAGAUGGUCAAGUGCUCCUGACUGGGCUACUGGGACUCAAGCCCUCGCAGGUGGUCUUCACGCUGGUCCAGGCCAUCAAUCAAGUCCAAGUGGCAGGAAGAGUGAGGGAAGAGACCACAGCGGUGGGCCCCGACUGGAAGCGCAUGAACAAGCUGCCUGA